rnacentral:rRNA from 1 species
UACGUAGGGGGCAAGCGUUGUCCGGAAUCAUUGGGCGUAAAGAGCGUGUAGGCGGCUCGGUAAGUCCGCUGUAAAAGUCCAGGGCUCAACCCUGGAAAGCCGGUGGAAACUGUCGAGCUAGAGUCCGGAAGAGGCGAGUGGAAUUCCCGGUGUAGCGGUGAAAUGCGCAGAUAUCGGGAGGAACACCAAUGGCGAAGGCAGCUCGCUGGGACGGUACUGACGCUGAGACGCGAAAGCGUGGGGAGCAAACAGG